GGGCUUAUAAAACAGGAAAAACUAAGGGUUAAAGAUGUUUGGUUACUAGCACGUGGAAGGCGUGUUAUGUUAGAGUUCAAUGAAUCAUUCCAACCAAUUGGAGAUCCAGCUGGACUUCUUGGAGGGAUUUUAGGAGAAUUAGCCUCUGAUUUUGUUGCUUUUCCUGUCAAUUAUGAAAGUUGGCACAAAGUACCGAAGACAUACAAAGAAGAAAUUUACAAAAAUAGAAUCAUGGAAAAAUUUAAUGUUGACGAGGGGCCUGCUAAAAAUUUUAUUUUGAAGAACAUUGGGAAGAAAUGGAAGGACAAUAGAUGUAAAUUAUACCAUGAGUGGUAUGAUCCCAAUAUUGGUCGAGAAGCAAAUAUUACAAAGCAUCCACCGGGAAUAUCUCAAGACCAAUGGGCAAGUUUUAUUGACUAUCGUGCACGAGAUAAGACUAAGGAGAUAUGUCAAAAAAAUGCUGAAAAUCGAUUCAAAUUGACAAUUCCACACACAGGAGGGUCGAAAAGUCUAGCAAGGAAAAAAUAUGAGAUGGUAAUAUUGCAAAAAUUUAUCCUUAAUAUGAAUUUUUUAUUCUAACAUCAACUAAUAUUUAUGUGAAAUUGUUCUAAAUUAUAGGAAAUUGAGAGUGGCCAACCUGUGAGUAGGGGUUUAUUAUACAUUGCGACGCAUAAGAAGAAAGAUGGAUCUUUUGUGAAUGAAGGAGCACGAACUAUAAGCGAGAAAAUUUCUGAGAUUGAGAGCCAAGGCACGUCUUCACAGUCAGUCUCCUUAAAUGAUUCACUUGCUCGUGUGCUAGGAAAAGAACAUUCAGGCCGAGUUCGAGGUUUGGGCUUCGGUCCUAGUCCAAACCAAGUUUUUGGGACCAUUGCUCAAUUCAGUGGGACACCCUCGUCAUCCAAUAAUACUAAUACACCUGUUGUACAAUAUGUGAAAAAAUUAGAGGAAAAAUUAGAGACUAGUCAACAAGAGGUUCGAAGUUUAAAGAGUGCAAUGGCUUAUAUUUUCACCAAUAUCGUGGGGAAUAUACCACCUGAGUUUGCUGCUAUGCUCAAUACAAUGGCACCAGAUGCACAUAGUGGACCAGUGUCACCAGCAGGAAGGCUCUCUUCUAAUGCAAGUCAUGACAUUCAUCAGACCCAUCAAGAUCCAAACCAACAAAGUUGAUGUGAUGAUAUGGAACUUCAUUUUGGAUAUUAAAUUGUUUAAAAUAUGUUACAUAUUUGGAUAUUUAAGUUGUAUUGAAUAUUUAUGGUUUAUUGAUUAAAUGGAUUGAAAUA